GCCAGACUCCUACGGGAGGCAGCAGUGGGGAAUAUUGGGCAAUGGGCGCAAGCCUGACCCAGCAACGCCGCGUGAAGGAAGAAGGCUUUCGGGUUGUAAACUUCUUUUAUUCGGGACGAAGAAAGUGACGGUACCGAAUGAAUAAGCCACGGCUAACUACGUGCCAGCAGCCGCGGUAAUACGUAGGUGGCAAGCGUUAUCCGGAUUUAUUGGGUGUAAAGGGCGUGUAGGCGGGAAUGCAAGUCAGAUGUGAAAACUCAGGGCUCAACCCUGAGCCUGCAUUUGAAACUGUAUUUCUUGAGUGCUGGAGAGGCAAUCGGAAUUCCGUGUGUAGCGGUGAAAUGCGUAGAUAUUAGGAGGAACACCAGUGGCGAAGGCGGUCUGCUGGACGACAACUGACGGUGAGGCGCGAAAGCGUGGGGAGCAAACAGGAUUAGAUACCCGGGUAGG
rnacentral:rRNA from 1 species